rnacentral:rRNA from 1 species
UAAUACGUAGGGGGCAAGCGUUGUCCGGAUUUAUUGGGCGUAAAGAGCGUGUAGGCGGCCUAGUAGGUCAGCUGUGAAAACUCGAGGCUCAACCUCGAGCUGUCGGUUGAAACCACUAGGCUAGAGUCCGGAAGAGGAGAAUGGAAUUCCCGGUGUAGCGGUGAAAUGCGCAGAUAUCGGGAAGAACACCCGUGGCGAAGGCGGUUCUCUGGGACGGUACUGACGCUGAGACGCGAAAGCGUGGGGAGCGAACAGGAUUAGAUACCCUGGUAGUCCACGCCGUAAACGAUGGGUGCUAGGUGUGGGGGGUGUCGACUCCCCCCGUGCCGAAGCUAACGCAUUAAGCACCCCGCCUGGGGAGUACGGCCGCAAGGCUA